rnacentral:tRNA from 1 species
GGAGAGAUGGCCGAGCGGUCGAAGGCGGUUGACUCGAAAUCAAUUGUGCCCGAGAGGGUACCGGGGGUUCGAAUCCUCCUCUCUCCGCCA